rnacentral:rRNA from 1 species
UUUCCUACGGGAGGCUGCAGUAGGGAAUAUUGGACAAUGGGCGAAAGCCUGAUCCAGCAAUGCCGCGUGAGCGAUGAAGGCCUUAGGGUUGUAAAGCUCUUUUACCCGAGAUGAUAAUGACAGUAUCGGGAGAAUAAGCCCCGGCUAACUCCGUGCCAGCAGCCGCGGUAAUACGGAGGGGGCUAGCGUUGUUCGGAAUUACUGGGCGUAAAGCGCACGUAGGCGGCUAUCUAAGUCAGAGGUGAAAGCCCGGGGCUCAACCCCGGAACUGCCUUUGAGACUGGAUAGCUAGAAUCUUGGAGAGGCGGGUGGAAUUCCGAGUGUAGAGGUGAAAUUCGUAGAUAUUCGGAAGAACACCAGUGGCGAAGGCGGCCCGCUGGACAAGUAUUGACGCUGAGGUGCGAAAGCGUGGGGAGCAAACAGGAUUAGAUACCCCAGUAGUCCC